UUGAACGCUGGCGGCAGGCCUAACACAUGCAAGUCGAGCGGUUGAGAGUAGCUUGCUACUUGAUGCAGCGGCGGACGGGUGAGUAACGCGUGGGAAUCUGCCCAGUAGUGGGGGACAACAGCCGGAAACGGCUGCUAAUACCGCAUACGCCCUACGGGGGAAAGGGGGGGGAUCUUAGGACAUCCCGCUAUUGGAUGAGCCCGCGUCGGAUUAGCUAGUUGGUAGGGUAAAGGCCUACCAAGGCUACGAUCCGUAACUGGUCUGAGAGGAUGAUCAGUCACACUGGAACUGAGACACGGUCCAGACUCCUACGGGAGGCAGCAGUGGGGAAUAUUGGACAAUGGGGGAAACCCUGAUCCAGCCAUGCCGCGUGUGUGAAGAAGGCCUUAGGGUUGUAAAGCACUUUCAGUGGGGAGAAAGGUUUGUCACCUAAUGCGUGAUGAAAUUGAUGUUACCCACAGAAGAAGCACCGGCUAACUCCGUGCCAGCCGCCGCAGUAA
rnacentral:rRNA from 1 species